UGGUGAUAAUUGGAGGUGGUGGUGGCAGAAGAUGAAGCGGCAAAGGAUUGCAAUGUAGAUGAUCCAAGUCCCGAUCGACGGACUUGAGCAAGAUCAGAUGCUACCGAUUUGAUGAGUUGGGGCAUCGAGUUAAAGAUUGCCCAUAGCUCAGAGAUCGGAUGAAGGCUACUGUGGGGAUGGCAGGUAGCGAUACAGAAGAAAGUAAUAAUAUUAUUUUGAUGACUGAUGAGGUA
rnacentral:lncRNA from 1 species